rnacentral:rRNA from 1 species
GACGAACGCUGGCGGCGUGCUUAACACAUGCAAGUCGAACGGAAAGGCCCUGCUUGCAGGGUACUCGAGUGGCGAACGGGUGAGUAACACGUGGGUGAUCUGCCCUGCACUUCGGGAUAAGCCUGGGAAACUGUGUCUAAUACCGGAUAGGAGCCAUUUUUAGUGUGAUGGUUGGAAAGUUUUUUCGGUGUAGGAUGAGCUCGCGGCCUAUCAGCUUGUUGGUGGGGUAAUGGCCUACCAAGGCGGCGACGGGUAGCCGGCCUGAGAGGGUGGACGGCCACAUUGGGACUGAGAGACGGCACAGACUCCUACGGGAGGCAGCAGUGGGGAAGAUUGCACAAGGGGCGCAAGCCUGAUGCAGCGACGCCGCGUGGGGGAUGACGGCCUUCGGGUUGUAAACUCAUUUCGCUAGGGACGAAGCUUUUUGUGACGGUACCUAGAUAAGAAGCACCGGCUAACUACGUG